rnacentral:lncRNA from 1 species
GUUGGUGUUCCCUUCUUCAUGGUUGCUGUCGUUUAGUAGAGCCAAAAGGAAGUGAGAUUUCAAGGAGCAUUUUAUGGUGAAUAGGAGGGAGGAACACGCACCGAUUGAUUUCAUGCCAUGAAGCACACCACCAGACAAGCAAUCGACAAGGCGAUGUGUGCAAUGGGGCAAGCUUUCAUUCCAACUAGGGGAAUAAUCCAAAGACGUCUCUCCAAUAGGAGGAGGUGCGAUUCAAGCUAGGGGAAGAGGCCAGAGACGUCUCUUCGUGAAGCAGUGGCUGCAAAGUAAUUUUCUAUUUACUCUCAGUGCUUCCUCUAUAGACGUCGUAAUGAAUGGCGUUGUACAGGCCCUAAUCAAAUAGCUUUCAGUUUCUCUCAUAACUUUAAUCUCACAAAAGUCCUUUUAAAAGCUAUGACUCAACUAAACAUGCUCUUAGAGCAUCUCCGGCUGAAAGGGAAGUGUGCCUUUGGGGCAUUUCUGAGUUAUUUUGGUGAUUAACUGCCCAAGACACCACUUUGAUCUCACCAUCUUGGUAUGAGCAUGAGCAUGAGCACAAGUUAUAUUAAAGCAAAUUGAAGAUGCAAAGUCCAAAUGAGUGGAUUAAAAGACCAAAACGUGCAACUGUGGGCCAAACCACAAAACAUGAGGUUUAAGUGUUCAGAUAAGUUGCACUUACUUUAUGUUAUGUUUCUUGCGAUGUUAUUUGGCUAUUAACUUCUUUGUGCAAGUAAAGUGGCAUUUGGACUUAGUUUGAGUAUAUUUAUAGGAAUCAUCACAAAGAGAGCCAAAAAGAAGUAAAGUAGUUUGGAUCAAAAGAGCCAAAGUUGGGUCAGACUCGGCAUCACCGGACAGUCCGGUGUGCACCGCAUAUGUUCGGUGCUGGCCUGGUCGGCUGACCCCAACUAGCCGCUCUUGGGUUUUUCUUGGGCGCACUGGAUAUAAUUCACUGGAUAGUCUGGUGUGCACCGGACAUGUCCGGUAGGCUACGCGGCCAACGGCUCUUCGCUCGCAUCAAUGGUCGGCCGCGUGAUCGACGCCAGCCACGUCAGCACGCCAGCGGUCAGGAGGGUCACGUACAUGUUUGGUGUGCCACCGGACAGUCCUGUGCCCACCCGAAAAGGAAGGUGGCCAAUCAGACGAUUCGGUGGUCGUUGCAGACAGAGUGUCUGGUGUGCCACCGGACAGUUCGGUGCACCCAUGGAUAGAAGCCAAUAUGCGCUUUCCAAAGAAAGGAGCAAUGACUCCUUGGCCCCUUGAGGCUAUAAAAGAUGCCCCUAGGCGCCUCAACCAGCACACCAAGCAUUCUAAGAGCACACUACAACUCCGAGACUCUGCAACAAUGCCUUCGAAGUGUUUGAGAGAGAUUUGGGCGCUUUUUGAGUCGUUACUCUAUCAUUUUGUUGUUGCACUCUCUUCUUUGCAUUUGUGCGUGUUGUUGUUGCGCUGUGCUCUUGUGUGCGUACUCUACUCCCUCCCUUACUCUAAUUUGGAUUGUGAUCGUCUUGUGUAAGGUAUGAGAGGCUCCAAAUUGUGGAGAUUCCUCACAAAAUGAUAUUCAUGAUAUAAGGAAGAACUGUGGUACUCAAGUUUGAUCUUCGGAUCACUUGAGAGGGGUUGAGUGCAACCCUCAUCCAUUGGGAUGCACGCUUGACCGAACCACGGGAUAAAAAUUGUCGUGUCUCUGGUCUCUUUACUUUACUGCAAUUUGAGUCUUCGUUUGAGGUUAUACUUCACUUUCAUAUUGCUCCUAGUUUAAUUCACAUCUCAAGAGAGCAAUGAAGUGGAGAGUCUUUCUUUCUCUCCUAUACUCUCAAACUUGGUUUUAUUUCCUCUAAUUCAUAUUAUAGACCAAGUUUGUGUUGUUUUGAGCGAAAUUUGUAGGAUCGCCUAUUCAACCCCUCCUCUGGGUGCUCUCACCUGCACCUCACCCAUUCAUCUCCCAUAAGAUGAUAUUGGUGAUCGCGUGCUUUUCCAAGGCGGUCUCCAGCAGAUCUUGUAUAUGGUCGUGUAAAACAUCGGUUUGCAUUGUAGAAUAUAUUGUUCACAUAAUUAAGUUUGGAAUAGGAUAUGUGAUGGAAUGUAAGAUGAGCAAGCUGCUGAAGACCGCCUAAAUAUUGGGAAAGAUGUUACAACAAUACUCCAAAAACAUCCUCGAUAUAUAGAACCCUCUUAUUAGAUAUUAAUAUUUUUCCUUUCCUUUUUCUCCAACGGUCUUCCUUCUCCAACCACGUACUCCUCUGUCCUUUGUGUGGUCUCAGUCGCAUAGGAAUAGGAUAGUCAGGAUCUUGGGCCCGACUCUAGUGUAGCACGGAUAUCUGGCGACCAUCACAGAGCGAGCAUUGACGACCAACCAAGUCUCCCUAAGGUGUAGAUCAAGCAUCACAUUGUGGCUAUGGGGACAACAAGGUCAUGAACUGGUGACGUCCUCAAUAGCAAGGGCCAGCCACGUCGGGUUGUUGUGAGUAUCUAGGCCUCUAAGUAGUGUUUUGGUAAUUAAUGACAAUUAUGUGUGGACUAACUAUUUCUUAGAGAAAAUAAGAAUGCAAGUUGAUCCAUGCACAUGUGAGCAACAUAAAGUCUUGAAGGACUUUGAUGGAAACCGUUGGAUAACUCAAUGCAAAGGUAAACGAUAGAUUUUUCGCUUUGCCGAUCAAGAUGGGAUUAAAGAAGCUUAUUGACCAAGUUAGUAGGCUAAAUAGUCAUACUAUCAAGAGGGGUCAAUGAUGUUUUCUUGACAGGUUCUUAAGUGCCUCAUAAGCUCAUAUAGUUUAUGCAUUUGCAUAAGGGCCGACGGUGCUUUCAAUUGUGAAAGAAAAACCUAUUCAAAAGCGGAUUCUGAAAAGGGAGCUAAAUUGGGUAUUGUGGAUCGUCCGUUCCAGGUGGUCGGACCAUCUGCGGGGCUAACGGAGAUGUGUGCAAAAAUGUUGAGUUUUUGUGUGGUGCGUAGUCUUUGUAGUACAGAUCGUUCGUGAUUUCGGGCGGACCAUCUACAGUAGAGGUCAAAGGAGCCUCCGAGUUUGGCUAUGUCCCUGGUAGGUUUUAUAUGCCUAUUGUGGACCGUCCGGCCGGGGGACGCAGACGGUCUGCAAUACCUUUGAUGGAUUUGCGUAGGGACUAUGUGACUUUUGGGUGGUGGUUUGAUGACAGCUCGUGCCUAGGUCAAAGUCAAUCCACUUUCCUAGGUGAUGGAUCGUCCGUGCCUAGGUGCCGGACUGUUCAUGAGUAUGCAAAGCCAGGGUUCUAGGUUUCUAUGUGCCUCAAGGUCGUGGUUGGUGGACCGUCCGCGCGUCACUUUAUCUAACAACUUUGACAAGUUUCUAAAUAAAAAGUAGUUAUAUGUAUGGGCAGAAAAGGGACAUGUGGCCCAUAACGACUAGUUGGUUGGAGAUGUGCUAUAAAUAGUUGGUGUGUGUGUGUUGAACAUCCCUCUUGGCUAUUUGAACCAUGUAUUGAGCACAUUCAAGCCUUCCAAUCUAUCCCACUCACACACAUUGCUAGAGAUUGCAUUCUAGUGAGUUGGAGAGAGCUCUAGUGCAUUGCAUCACAUUGUUGAUUCUUGAGGCACUAGAAAGUUCAUCAAGCAAUCGUCAUCGACUUGUUACUUUUGAAGGUAUGAUUGUGAGAGGUCAUGGUGGUGAUUGUGAGAGGCUUGUGCUUGUCUCACUAGAGCGGUGAAAAGUGACACCGGUGGAAUUGACGUAUGAGUGAUUCUUUGAUCAUCGGACUCAACCGCUCAAGAGAUCAUGCAAAGCAUAGUCUUUAAUAGAGAAACAGUUGAUAAGCUAGCAUAGUAUUAUUCUUAACUGUUUUCAACAAAAUUCAAUUAAUAUCGUGAAAAAAAUUAAGGUGUGUAUGUGAGACUAAUUUUAGGGUCUGACUUUUGAGAUGGGCCCAUGUGGAUCUAACUUUAGAUAUCUAUAAAAUUUGGCAGAUUAUCAUGCUGAGCUCAUCACAAAUCAGCUCCGCUGCUCUCUAGUGAAAUAUUUUAAUCUGAACACGCUAACGAAUCCACUAGCUAUGGGUUUAACCCACUAGCUAUGGAGCGGGUUAGGGUAGAUUAUUUAGUUUAAUUAUUGGGCUAGGUUGAGGGAAAUGACUCUUUUGCGAUGGUUUAGGGUAUAUUUCGACUCAUUAUCAGAACUAAUUGGAGACUAGUAACUUACUCGCGCCUCCCGCGAGUGUUAAUUUGAUCGUUGUGUUUAUGGUGUUAAAAGAGUAUAUAUAGAUACAUACACAUACACAUAGAAAUAACAGAAUUACCUAAAUAAAAAAUCGUUUGAAGUGGAACAGUUCGGUGUACAAAUACAGACUCAUGAGCAGUCUAGUUAUUAGAUUGCUAAAUGGAUAUAUAUACAUGUACUGAACAUACAAAAUAUUGGUUUUAGUGGUCACAAAAUAAUUAUGCACUCAACUUAGUAAUCAUGUUAUAAAGUAGUACAUGUGGUGAGACAACAACUUAAAAUAAGAUAUGAUGAUGCAACAACUUAAAAAAUUGAUAUUACCUAACAUGCUGAGUAGUUGCAGUAAAUAUACCUGUUAUCCUUGAAGCAACAACGACCAAGAAAAAUGCGAUGAAUCAUGAGGCGUAAUUCUCAAGCCUUUUUUUCCUAUCUUCUUAAUAUAAUGAGUCGUAGUUCUCCUGCGUUUUCGAGAGAAAAAAACUUAUAUCUAUAUCAGAUAUUCUAGACAGAAUAAACAUAAAUCAUGAUACCGUAGUACGAUAGUAAUGGUAUUAUAAGCUAAGUUUACUCUCACACUUGCAGGCACCGAUUACCAUCUAAAAAUGUUGAGACAUCAUGAAUCACUAUAUUAAUAUGUAUGUACUGUACAAUCAACAUUAGCACAUGAUUGAAGUGCAUACGGAUUUAUUUAGAUGGCCUCCUGGUUACCCAUACAUGACUCCAUCAAAACCACACAAUUGGAAAAUUGUGGUUGUCGUUAAUCUGAAGCUGUCAUUCCAUACAUGCACAUUCUUGGGUGACUCUGUUCAAUUUUUUUUCAGAACGGCUGCUUGGCGUAGG